AUACGAAGGGGGCUAGCGUUGUUGGGAAUUACUGGGCGUAAAGCGCGCGUAGGCGGACUGAUCAGUUGGGGGUGAAAUCCCAGGGCUUAACCCUGGAACUGCCUCCAAUACUGUCAGUCUUGAGUUCGGGAGAGGUGAGUGGAAUUCCUAGUGUAGAGGUGAAAUUCGUAGAUAUUAGGAAGAACACCAGUGGCGAAGGCGGCUCACUGGCCCGAUACUGACGCUGAGGCGCGAAAGCGUGGGGAGCAAACAGGAUUAGAUACCCCGGUAGUCC
rnacentral:rRNA from 1 species